AUGCCUGUAGGAUCCGAUAAUGACACAAUUGAGGAUGUCUAUGAAACAAGCAUGUCGUCUGCUAUACCUAGCGAGGUUGAUCCAUUAGACUUUGUCUACACAAACAUCCCAGACACCACUCACGUCCUGAAACUCGACGCAAACUGCAAACACUGCAAGGCCAAAUUUGUGUCUGAGACUGACGGGUUCUGCUAUCGCAAUGGACAGAUCAAACUUAAACAACCGGAACCAGUCCCAGAGCUGAUGAGACUAUGGUCCAGCAUGGAUGCAGAUUCUAGACAUUUUCGAGAGAACAUACGGUUCUUCAACGGGCAUUUUGCCUUCACAACCCUU
rnacentral:rRNA from 1 species